UAGGAAGAAAAAAAAAGCUUUGAAAAGAGAGUUAAACAGUACGUGAAAUUGCUGAAAGGGAAACGCUUGAAGUCAGUCGCGUCGUCCGGAACUCAGCCUUGCUUUUGCUUGGUGCACUUUCCGGUUGACGGGUCAGCAUCGAUUUUGACCGUCGGAAAAGGGCUGGAGUAAUGUGGCACCCUCGGGUGUGUUAUAGACUCUGGUCGCAUACGGCGGUUGGGAUCGAGGAACGCAGCGCGCCGUAAGGCAGGGGUUCGCCCACUUUCGCGCUUAGGAUGCUGGCAUAAUGGCUUUAAACGACCCGUCUUGAAACACGGACCAAGGAGUCUAACAUACCUGCGAGUGUUUGGGUGGAAAACCCGAGCGCGUAAUGAAAGUGAAAGUUGAGACCCCUGUCGUGGGGGGCAUCGACGCCCGGACCUGACGUUCUCUGAAGGAUCCGCGGUAGAGCAUGUAUGUUGGGACCCGAAAGAUGGUGAACUAUGCCUGAAUAGGGUGAAGCCAGAGGAAACUCUGGUGGAGGCUCGUAGCGAUACUGACGUGCAAAUCGAUCGUCAAAUUUGGGUAUAGGGGCGAAAGACUAAUCGAAGCAUCCAAGACGUCUAUG
rnacentral:rRNA from 1 species